rnacentral:rRNA from 2 species
UGAGGAAUAUUGGUCAAUGGGCGAGAGCCUGAACCAGCCAAGUCGCGUGAAGGAAGAAGGUUCUAUGGAUUGUAAACUUCUUUUGUAAGGGAAUAAAAAGAGCUACGUGUAGCUUAUUGUAUGUACUUUACGAAUAAGGAUCGGCUAACUCCGUGCCAGCAGCCGCGGUAAUACGGAGGAUCCAAGCGUUAUCCGGAUUUAUUGGGUUUAAAGGGUGCGUAGGCGGACCCGUUAGUCAGUGGUGAAAGUUUGCAGCUCAACUGUAAAAUUGCCAUUGAAACUGCGGGUCUUGAGUGUAAAUAAGGUAGGCGGAAUGUGUUGUGUAGCGGUGAAAUGCUUAGAUAUAACACAGAACACCAAUUGCGAAGGCAGCUUACUGGGAUACAACUGACGCUGAGGCACGAAAGCGUGGGGAUCAAACAGG